rnacentral:misc_RNA from 1 species
GGUGAAUUCAUAUGAUGGAAAGAUUAGAGUCUUUUUGCACGCAGGUCAAACGUUUCCAAAUGAAAAUUAUAAAUAUGUUGAUGUUAGAGAUGUAGCAUAUGCACAUAUUCUAGCUUUUGAAAGACCUUCAGCCAGUGGCGGAUACUGUGCAGUUGGACGAGUUGCACACAUCUCUGAGUUCUUGAAGAUUUUGCACGAACAAUAUCCUACAUUACAGCUUCCUCAAAAAUGCGCAGAUGACAAGCUUUUUGUGCCAAAAUAUGAAGUAUCCAAUGAGAAAGCAAAAGCUUAGGGUCUUAACUUCACUCCAUUGGA